AUUGAUAACAAGGGGAGCUUAUGGUGAUAGGCUGAGAGGAAGUUUAAAACUUCGACCCAUAACCUGAUUUGGAUAAUGCCAACGUAGGAACGCCGUUAUACAAAAUU
rnacentral:ncRNA from 2 species